rnacentral:rRNA from 1 species
AGCGAACGCUGGUGGCAGGCCUAACACAUGCAAGUCGAACGGCUCUUCGGAGCAGUGGCGGACGGGUGAGUAACACGUGGGAACGUGCCCUAAGGUACGGAACAACUGAGGGAAACUUCAGCUAAUACCGUAUGUGCCCUUCGGGGGAAGGAUUUAUCGCCUUAGGAGCGGCCCGCGUUGGAUUAGCUAGUUGGUGGGGUAAAGGGCCUACCAAGGCUACGAUCCAUAGCUGGUCUGAGAGGAUGAUCAGCCACACUGGGACGUGAGACACGGCCCAGACUCCUACGGGAGGCAGCAGUGGGGAAGUCUUGCGCAAUGGGCGGAAAGCCUGACGCAGCCAUGCCGCGUGUAUGAUGAAGGUCUUAGGAUUGUAAAAUACCUUCACCGGGGAAGAUAAUGACGGUA